rnacentral:rRNA from 1 species
UACGUAGGCAGCGAGCGUUGUUCGGAGUUACUGGGCGUAAAGAGUGCGUAGGCGGUUUUCUAAGUUUGGUGUGAAAUCUCCCGGCUUAACUGGGAGGGUGCGCCGAAGACUGGAAGGCUUGAGUAUGGGAGAGGUAAGCGGAAUUCCAGGUGUAGCGGUGAAAUGCGUAGAUAUCUGGAGGAAUACCGGUGGCGAAGGCGGCAUCCUGGACCGGCAUUGACGCUGAAGCGCGAAAGCUAGGGGAGCAAACGGG